UCUGAUUCAUGACAUGCCUAGUAUCCAAGUGUUUGGAGAGAAAAGUGAAACGAGCAAGCCUGUCGAUGGUGAUGAUGAAGAUGGCAAUGAAGAUGGGGACGGAGAAGAGGACGGUGCUGUCGGGGAGGGUGACGAAGAACCAUCUGAGGAUGACGGGGAGGGAUACGAGAACCCCAAUAAUAACAGUGGCAAGAAAGCCCCUGGCGACGGUGCUGGUGGUGAAGAAAACGGAGAGGAUGAUGAUGAAGAGGCCGAGGAUCCAGAGGACGGGGAUGACGACGACGAUGAUGAAGAAGAUGAGGAUGACGAUGAUGGUGGAGAGGACGAGGACGAGGGUGUGGAAGACGACGAGGAGAACGAGGAUGAAGAGGAAGACGACGAGGAAGAGGAGCUUCAACCUCCUAAGAAGAGGAAGAAGUGAGCGUGGUCGAAGUCGGGCUCGGUUUUAGUUGUAGCUUCUCUUGCUCUUUCGCAGUUCAGUCCGUUCGACCUCGCCGUGUGCCCUAACCCUGGUUUCAUUUCAGGAUUCAUAACGACAGACCGUUGUGGUGUUGGCCUAUGUAGGAGUACUAUUUCCUAAUGCAUCAGAGAGAACUUUGUCAAAUUUUGAUUUGUCUCUCUCAGUUAUUUAAGCUAACAAACUCUAAACUAUGCUGCUUCAAUUUGGUAUCAGAUUUUAACAAUGUAGUCAAAUGCAGCUCACUUUUCC
rnacentral:lncRNA from 1 species